GUGAGUAACGCGUGAGAAUCUACCUUCAGGACGGGGACAACAGCUGGAAACGGCUGCUAAUACCCGAUAUGCCGAAAGGUGAAAGUUAUUUCGCCUGGAGAGGAGCUCGCGUCCGAUUAGCUAGUUGGUGGGGUAAAAGCUUACCAAGGCAACGAUCGGUAGCUGGUCUGAGAGGAUGAGCAGCCACACUGGAACUGAGACACGGUCCAGACUCCUACGGGAGGCAGCAGUGGGGAAUUUUCCGCAAUGGGCGAAAGCCUGACGGAGCAACGCCGCGUGGGGGAAGAAGGUUUUUGGAUUGUAAACCCCUUUUCUCAAGGAAGAACAAAAUGACGGUACUUGAGGAAUCAGCCUCGGCUAACUCCGUGCCAGCAGCCGCGGUAAUACGGAGGAGGCAAGCGUUAUCCGGAAUUAUUGGGCGUAAAGCGUUCGUAGGCGGCUGUUCAAGUCUGCUGUCAAAGACCGAGGCUCAACCUCGGGUCGGCAGUGGAAACUGGAUAGCUAGAGGUCGGUAGGGGCAGAGGGAAUUCCCAGUGUAGCGGUGAAAUGCGUAGAUAUUGGGAAGAACACCGGUGGCGAAAGCGCUCUGCUGGGCCGAACCUGACGCUGAGGGACGAAAGCUAGGGGAGCGAAUGGGAUUAGAUACCCCAGUAGUCCUAGCCGUAAACGAUGGAAACUAGGUGUGGCCUGUAUCGACCCGGGCCGUGCCGAAGCUAACGCGUUAAGUUUCCCGCCUGGGGAGUACGCACGCAAGUGUGAAACUCAAAGGAAUUGACGGGGGCCCGCACAAGCGGUGGAGUAUGUGGUUUAAUUCGAUGCAACGCGAAGAACCUUACCAGGGCUUGACAUGCCGCGAAUCUUGCUGAAAGGGAAGAGUGCCUACGGGAGCGCGGACACAGGUGGUGCAUGGCUGUCGUCAGCUCGUGUCGUGAGAUGUUGGGUUAAGUCCCGCAACGAGCGCAACCCUCGUCCUUAGUUGCCAUCAUUAAGUUGGGCACUCUAGGGAGACUGCCGGUGAUAAACCGGAGGAAGGUGGGGAUGACGUCAAGUCAUCAUGCCCCAUAUGUCCUGGGCUACACACGUACUACAAUGGUCGGGACAACGAGCAGCCAACUCGCAAGAGUGCGCUAAUCUCUUAAACCCGGCCUCAGUUCAGAUUGCAGGCUGCAACUCGCCUGCAUGAAGGAGGAAUCGCUAGUAAUCGCAGGUCAGCAUACUGCGGUGAAUCCGUUCCCGGGCCUUGUACACACCGCCCGUCACACCAUGGAAGUUGGUCACGCC
rnacentral:rRNA from 5 species